rnacentral:sRNA from 1 species
CAUGAAUUUAUAUAUAUAGGUGGUGGCAAGGAAAUCAGAUCAAAAGUUAGGUACAAUGUUGGAUGAAUUUGUCAAAUCAAAAUCAAAAUCCAGAAAAAGCCAAUUCCAAAGGUAAACUGAAUCCGCUCGACAGACAGAAAAAACCGACCGAAAAUCACAAACGAAAAUCAUAAUAGAUGAUCAUCACGUCUUUUCAAACCCUCCUCAACUUAAAAAAGAGAGAUCUUGGAAUACAAAUCAGACCAGACCCAGAAACCAGACCCAGGAACUUUGUAAAUCGCCACAAAUAACUUUUUCGCCAAUGCCGCCCGGCACCUGAAACUCGGAGUCUACGCACGGCCACCACCACCAGAUAACCGCGUCCGGCUCUGGAGGGCCCUCCGCCUCCGCACAGACACCGCCACCACAGCCUUCCCUAACCCCGUAGCCAACCACUGCCCUUGCGUUGUCAACUUCCACGUCCGCUUCCGCGCCUUGGCCCGCUCGAUACAGUCAAUCGCCCGGAUCAUUGCCAACAGCCCAUAGCCUACUACUCGACGACGACAACGACUACUAUUACUACUAUCAACAAAUUGGCCACCGCUGCCAUCACCACGACCCAUCAGAACGCUGCCGGACACCGGAGACGCCAACGGGCUAUCCAAAUCCAGCGCUGCACCACUAGCCACAAGCUGCAAUGCCUUGCUCGUCGCAUCGCGAAGUGGACGCGCCAAAGCUGGGCUGCACGCUAGAAGGCGGGUGAAAAGGCGGAUUCGAAAGACUGGGCGGCUCGAUGUCGGAAGGUCCGAGGCUCGUUGGGGAAGGGCAGGUGGAGGCGGUGUUGUUGUUGUUAUUGUUGUUGGUGCCGUCGAGGUUAACUGGGUCGGGGUCGAAAUCAACCAGAGAAUCAAAGGCAAGUGCUGCUGGAUCUCCGGUGGGGAAAAGGUCAAAGGGGACCCCUGUUUCAAUGAGUGAAAGAUCCGGAUCAAAGGGAUUAGAAGGGUAGAAUAGGCGGUGGAAGUCAUCGUCUGAAAGAGGUGUUGAAUGAUUGAGAGGAUGGCUAGUUUCAAGAGGAGCUGCUGUUGCAGCUGCUGGGUGAGAGGUGGGAGGAGGGGCAGGGACAGCGGGAUUGGAGCGGGGGUUGAAGAGGGACUUGGAGAGGCUUGGGGAGGGCGCCACAGCAGUUGAGGAGCGGUCGAUGGUAGCGACGCCUCCGACUGACACUGCAGGUCACACAACAUCGCUGCAGGAUGUUGUGUCAGGUCGGAGGAAUCGGUGAGAUCGCAGCUCUUCACGCUGGGAGAGUAGGCGGAGAUGGGCGGGGUGAGGAAUGGAAUGUUGUCCAGGGAGACCAUUUCGUCCCGUUCUUGUUUGAACAUGGCCGGGAGGAGGUUUGGAGAGGUGAGUCCGGAGACGAUGGAUUGUGGGGAGGAGCCUCUGGAGGAAGAGCCCCUCGACGAGGAGGAGCGGAUUUCGGCGGACAGCUGGGCGACUUGUUGGCUCAGACGUUUGUUUUCAGCUUCCAUCUGGGCGAGGCGUUGGAGGAGGAUUCCAUUCUGGUGUUCCAUCUCCAGCUUCUCGCCUUCGAGUUUCUCGACCUCGAGUCUCUUCCGCUCUCGAGAAGUCUGAGCCGCAGCCCGGUUCCUGAGAACGCGUUCUAUACGGCGUUGUUCCUUCUCAUCUUCGGUCUUGGCUCGUUUUCUUGGAGGAAGAUUCGUCUUGGGGGUGGGUAGUUCCUGACCCCACGACUUUCUCUUCUUGACAGGCUUUUUCUCUUCUGGUUUGGGAGGGAGGGUGGUGGCAAUGGUGGCAGUGACUGCAGCGGGGGCAGCGGGGGCAGCCGGGGCAGCGGUGGUAGUUGUAGUUGGAGCGGUGGUAGUAGUUACAGUUGUGGUAUCCAGAGGCACCGUUGUUGCAGUGACAGGAUGGGCGAAGGAGAACGUAGUCUCAGCGGGCGCGACGGUCAACUGGAGAGGGUCUGAACACGGGGGAGGAGACAUGGCGCCUAGAUAGGAGAACGGUGUAGUCAUGAUGGUGGUGGUGGUGGUGGUGGUGGUGGUAAGAGGUUAGGGGUGUUGUGGGAGAUGAUGGAUGCGAGUUGGUGAGAGGGUGACGGUGAUGUGAGGAUGAGGGUGAGAGUGAGUAGGCGAGAGCGCCAGGCGAGUGGUUUUUAUCCAGUGUUUUAUCAAACGUUCUUAUCUCUUGAUUUAUUCUUAUCAACCCAAAGGUUGCUCAGAGGAAGGGUGGUGGUGGUUUGGGAAGGGAGUCAAGAACAACGGUAGCGGGAGUGGGGAUCCAGAGGUUAGGGCCACGGUGGCAUUGUCCUUCUUCGCUCCUUUUUUUGGCCUGCUGUGCUGUCUCGCCCUGACCUAGACCGAAGGCUGGGUAAGGUGCUGCCUGCUGCCUGCUGCCUGCUGCCUGCUGCCUACGGGCUAUUGGCUGUUGGUGUCGGAAAUGUAGCGUGUUAUAUGAUAUCGACCGCUCUGUCGGGCCUCGCUGUCGCCUCGUAUCGCUGUCGCCCUGUGGGAGGAAUUCCUCGAAUCCGUGGCCUCAACUCCGGGGGGAAUCUGCGGCUCUUUAAAGGCCGUGCUGGCCCCCCGGGUACUAGUCCCAACACGGCCUAGCGCCAGUCGUGGUCGGCUUAGAGGCGCCUCUGUCCCAAUGCAGUUAGCGGUGGCGCGGAGCAAAGGCGAUUGCUCCCGGGCUUGGCUGCCAAGGUUGGCGGGGUGUGGGGUACCAGUACCUAACUGGCAGGAGCUGCCCCUGCUUGGCCCGCCUGUAACAUCCGCCAACUGAGGUACCGGUACGGCUGUUCCCCCGAUCGUUGCCCAAGUUUCGCCCUUUCCCCCAUUCCCCUUUGGAGAUGGCGAGACUUUGUGCCAACCAGGGACGGAGGAAUCGGUAAUCUGGACGGCUUCCAGAGUACGGAGUACCAGCCUGGGGGAUAGCAGCAUGCCGAGUCGAUGCACCGCCCAUGAGGAUCGUCUUGUUUGCCGGGCGAUCGCUGCUGAUCCCCUUUCAUGCGCCGAACAACGUGCAGCACAUCCCAGCCUGCAUAUAAAACCUCCGUAGUGGGGUGAUUUACACUGGUCUUCGCGUCAGCAACAAUCAAAGUCCGCGGCCGGAAACUUGAGGUUACCGAGAAGGGGUUAAUCAGAGUACGAACGCUGUGCCGUCCGCUGUUCUCGACUCGUCGAAAUUAGCUCCAGGGUGCGCCUAGGGUUUCUGGGCGGUGCUUGGGCGGUGGAGCCCUGGAGCCCUGGAGCCCUGGAGCCCUGGAGCCCUGGAGCCCUGGAGCCGUCGAAUCGACCCUUUUGCGCGUGGCCAGUCCCUGGGAAGUUACUCUGUUGACAUCAGAGAGAGAGGCAGAGAGAGCGGCCUUGUGGGGCAGCAGUUUCCUCCGGACCUUGGGGGAGGACUCCACAGCCACAUGACAACUACGAGCCACCGGGCUGCCGUUGUCGCUUCGCUUGCUUCGCUUGCUUCGACUUGCUUCGAUUGCUUCGACUUGCUUCACGCUGGAACACUUUCUUUGCCCUCCAGCAGAGUGCGUACAUACUGGCACAGACUACGUCCAUGCACACUACCUACCUAUGCUCGAUGCAUACUGCAUACUCUCUACAGACACACAUCCCCUACAUCCAUCCAUCCAUCCAUCCAUCCAUACGGAGGAUCCUCUCGAAAGUUUUGAUUAGCACUUCAAACAAUUUAAGUUGAAAUAUUUGUAGCCGGCAUUAAGUAUCUCCAUUCCAUGUCUUAACAAGAGUUAGGAUAACCCACUCCUCCAGCUUCAGUUAACAAAGGGAUUAGCCCUAAGUUUCAACAUUGCUAGGCAUGAAGGAGAUCCUUGAGCAAUGGUAACAAACGAUAUUACAAAAAACUUCCGAAAGGAAUCCUCCUCCCCUCCGUACAUCGAGAGACAGCCAAUUGCUGCUCCAAAGCCACUGCUUCCAUAAUGCCGUUGGGCGUAUGGUUCUCUCUCCCCCGUCGUCCAACACCUUGCGGGACUCGGCAACAGCAUUGCACAGUGCGCCCCCGGUUCGCACAGGCGAUGGAUAAGUUGUAAACGAAGAAUAAAAUUGGAAAAAAAAAAAAAAAAAACCCCACAAAAAAAGAGAAUAGGAAGGAAGAAGGAAGGAAGGAAGAAAGAAAGAAAGAAAGACGACACAGCCCUGGGCCUGGACCUUGGGGGGAAUAAACUUCGGUUGUCGGAAGCGGGAAGUUGCGGGUGAACGAAGUCCCGAACUCUGGUUCUUUUGCCCCGGGGUGAUUUGAUGUGAGGAACCUACAACGGGAGCUGUCAGCCGCACUGCUUCUGCUUCUGCUUCUCCUUCUCCCACGUUUUCCAGAAAGAAGUCCGACCUUGGAGGUUCAAUGAUGUUGGAUGCGGACCAUGUGGUGGGGGUUAGGGGUGGUGGCUACUGCUGCUGCCAAACGAGAGUUUCCCGAGGUUGAUGGUUGGCAGCGAUGGCCUUCCUUUCCUCUCUUCUUCGACUUCGGCCAAACCCCGCGCUUGCCCUCCGCCACCGCGCGGAUGUUCCGCGGGUCUUCUCCUUUCCCCCCCCCAAAGACUUGUCGUUUCCUGUUGUUUUCCUUGCAAGAAAGAGAAGCUAUGGAAGUUCUGGAAAUUCACAUCUCAACCGCGAUCUAUCGUGAUUGGAUUUGUUAAGUGGUACUUCGAAAUCCUCGUUUAAGAUGUUGAAUUUUUCUAGAAAGGCUAAAAGUAACCAACCAACUAACUACUCGUAUUAUGAGGUGCAGUAAAAAGUCAAGGAAGGGAUAAUUUUUUCCACUUUCUAUCUAGGGAGAAAAAUUAUAUUUCUGUAUGUUAAUCUCAUUUAACUUCUGUGAUAACUGGCCUGUCUGUUGCCUAAUCUAGACCGAAAAAAACUAAAUAAUCAUGUAGCAUUUCUCCCAAUCAAGAUGAACUUCCCCAGAGAAUAACUCAUAUAUGGAUGGUUAAUACAGUAAUUGACAUACAUCUCUAGUACUACGGGGCUUACAAGCUCAACGAACGUGCAAGAUGAUUGAUUAUACUCGUUUACUAUGGUGCAUUCAUUCAAUUCUCUCUCGAUCGCCAGGCCAUCCCUUGAUUCUUUCUGGCUUGUGAAAAGAAAAAGACGUGCGCCCUAGCCGAGCCUCGUUCCUGGUUUGGAUGCGCAGAUUAUUUUGUCUUUUUUUUUUUUUUUUUUUUUUCCCGCUCGCUCGCUCGUUCUCUAGUUGACGAGUGAGCCAGUUAUCUUUCUCUCCGCUCCAGCCAAAUCCUUCGGCCAAGUCUAAAGUGCAUUCCACCCAAUCCCUUUUUUGUCUUUUCCCCACGCCCCGCUCUGAAGCGGGACAAAAGUAACAGGCUCCAUUGACACGACAACCUCUUCCUCGCACCUUGAUAAUGGCUUCCGCAUCUCCAGGGUAAAGGUUUUGGGAUUUCCAGGGCGGGAAGCAUCUGGUGAAUUUCGCAGUUGACGCUGCAGGGUUCUGGGAUUCGGGAGGAAGGGAGUUCAAGUCAGUUCUCAGUUCUCCCCAUCAUCACCAUCAUUAUCGUCAUCGUCAUCACCAUCAUCACCAUCAUCAUCACCAUCAUCAUCAUCAUCGUCAUCAUCAUCAUCAUCGUCAUCAUCAUCAUCAUCAGAUCAUCAUCAUCCUCAUCAUCAUCAUCAUUGUUCACCAAACUAUAUUUGCCUGCUUUGCUUUUUCGACUGCUUGCCCUUUCUUUACCAAGGCCUCUGGGCCGCACUAUAAUCGCCCAUUUUAGGUCCCGUUCGUCCCAUUGGCCCACAUCUCCCUUCCAUACCACGACGACGACGACGAAGACGACGACGACGACGACGGGCAACCGAAUGAGCUGCCAGAUCCACGUCCCGAGCCGCGAUAGCCGCAGCAGAAUUUUUGCCAUCCAUGCUCUUCAAUCCUUGUCAUCGCAACUUUUGCGUCCGGGCAAUGGGGGGGUUUCCUCCGCUUCAUUCCUGUGGCUCGUGUCGUUUUAACUUUCGUGCGUUAGACCCUGUAAAAGUUAGUAGGUAACUAACUAGAUGCCUUAAUCCUUAGUUAAUGCCGCGCAGAACCUUCUACAAGGCGUCUAGGACCAGACUAGCAACCAUUUCUUGCCUUUCAGAUGUUUAUCCGACUGGGAGUACCCCCGAAGAAGGGGUACCUAGGUAGGUUAGUUAGUCCAGCACGCAAAAUCAAAAUCAAAAACCAAAAUCUCUCCGCAUCAAAACUCCCGUAACCGAGAUGGAGCAAUUGACAUUGUCCAAUUUAUUUACUGGCGCCCUCCCGCGAAACCGGGUAUCGGGUAUCAGGUAUGGUAUAAGGACAGGUGGGGUGGAGAGCUUCGGCUAUACACGGACUUCUGCUUUCCCGAGAGAAUUAAACGAGGAAAAAGGAAAAGAAAGGAAGAGAAGAGAAGACAAGAGAGAGAGAUAUAUAUACGGAGAGAGAGAGAGAGAUUUAUCAUGCCCCUUUGUUGGUGAUAUCUUCCUUUAGCAUCUUGCCAACGGUUUCGAAGCUCACUAGCCAGCCAGCCAAGCCAGCCAGUCAGUUGUGGUGAUCAAACAGCUGAUCACUCACUGUUGUCAGGGAUGGAUUCUCUGGAUUUCUCAUUACUAUCUUCCCCACCGUCGCGUUCACCAAAACAGUUGAUGGUCAGAGAGGAAGAGAGGAGAGGGGCUGAGAGUUUUUGGGGGGAGCAGCGAAGCUGUGUAUGUCCAGCUUUACAAAAUAACUAUCGGGCAUUGGAGCAUGGAGGUGUGGAACAAUGUCCUUGCACACACACACACACGAAAUAUAAAUGGAAAUCUCUCUCAACACUGUAGCUCAACUGGAUACAGUCCACGCGGGAGUAGAAGUUACCGAGUCUUCUUGGUGCAUAAGUCAAAGGACUUAGUUUUUAAUGUUCCAACAAUCCCUGGAAUCAAGGAGAACAAAAAAAUGUCAUGGAGCAAUCAAUAAUGUACAUGUACAUACAGUAGGAGUAGUAUUUACUUCCUUCACCAUGACCUUUGAACAUUUUACUUGCUUUUACUUCUACCCAUGGUUCGUCCUGGCCCGUAGUUACCUAGA